AGUGAACGCUGGCGGUAGGCCUAACACAUGCAAGUCGAACGGCAGCACAGUAAGAGCUUGCUCUUACGGGUGGCGAGUGGCGGACGGGUGAGGAAUACAUCGGAAUCUACUUUUUCGUGGGGGAUAACGUAGGGAAACUUACGCUAAUACCGCAUACGACCUACGGGUGAAAGCAGGGGAUCUUCGGACCUUGCGCGAUUGAAUUAGCCGAUGUCGGAUUAGCUAGUUGGCGGGGUAAAGGCCCACCAAGGCGACGAUACGUAGCUGGUCUGAGAGGAUGAUCAGCCACACUGGAACUGAGACACGGUCCAGACUCCUACGGGAGGCAGCAGUGGGGAAUAUUGGGCAAUGGGCGCAAGCCUGAUCCAGCCAUACCGCGUGGGUGAAGAAGGCCUUCGGGUCGUAAAGCCCUUUUGUUGGGAAAGAAAAGCAGCAGGUUAAUACCCCGCUGUUCUGACGGUACCCAAAGAAUAAGCACCGGCUAACUUCGUG
rnacentral:rRNA from 1 species